rnacentral:rRNA from 1 species
UACGUAGGGGGCAAGCGUUGUCCGGAUUUAUUGGGCGUAAAGAGCGUGUAGGCGGCCACACAGGUCUGCUGUGAAAACUCGAGGCUCAACCUCGAGCUGUCGGUGGAAACUGUGUGGCUAGAGUCCGGAAGAGGAGAGUGGAAUUCCCGGUGUAGCGGUGAAAUGCGCAGAUAUCGGGAAGAACACCCGUGGCGAAGGCGGCUCUCUGGGACGGUACUGACGCUGAGACGCGAAAGCGUGGGGAGCGAACAGG